rnacentral:misc_RNA from 1 species
AACGCAUAUUGCGCCCCUUGGUAUUCCUUGGGGCACACCUGUUCGAGCGUCAUUUCACCAAUCAAGCCUCGCUUGGUUUUGGGCGAUGCGCACGCCGCACGCCUCAAAUGCCCCGGCCGAGCAGUCUCUCACCCGGCGUCGUGGAAACAUACCGCUACGGAGACGAGACCUGCCCGUGCCGCAGAAUAACCUAUUAACAAAGGUUGACCUCGGAUCAGGUGGGGAUACCCGCUGAACUUAA